rnacentral:rRNA from 1 species
UACGGGGGGAGCAAGCGUUGUUCGGAUUUACUGGGCGUAAAGGGCGCGUAGGCGGCGUGACAAGUCACUUGUGAAAUCUCCGGGCUUAACUCGGAGCGGCCAAGUGAUACUGUCGUGCUAGAGUGCGGAAGGGGCUACUGGAAUUCUCGGUGUAGCGGUGAAAUGCGCAGAUAUCAGGAGGAACACCGGUGGCGAAGGCGGGUCUCUGGGCAGUAACUGACGCUGAGGAGCGAAAGCGUGGGGAGCGAACAGG